rnacentral:rRNA from 1 species
CUCUCUGGGUGGCGAGUGGCGGACGGGUGAGGAAUACAUCGGAAUCUACUCUGUCGUGGGGGAUAACGUAGGGAAACUUACGCUAAUACCGCAUACGACCUACGGGUGAAAGCAGGGGACCUUCGGGCCUUGCGCGAUUGAAUGAGCCGAUGUCGGAUUAGCUAGUUGGCGGGGUAAAGGCCCACCAAGGCGACGAUCCGUAGCUGGUCUGAGAGGAUGAUCAGCCACACUGGAACUGAGACACGGUCCAGACUCCUACGGGAGGCAGCAGUGGGGAAUAUUGGACAAUGGGCGCAAGCCUGAUCCAGCCAUACCGCGUGGGUGAAGAAGGCCUUCGGGUUGUAAAGCCCUUUUGUUGGGAAAGAAAUCCAGCUGGCUAAUACCCGGUUGGGAUGACGGUACCCAAAGAAUAAGCACCGGCUAACUUCGUGCCAGCAGCCGCGGUAAUACGAAGGGUGCAAGCGUUACUCGGAAUUACUGGGCGUAAAGCGUGCGUAGGUGGUUAUUUAAGUCCGUUGUGAAAGCCCUGGGCUCAACCUGGGAACUGCAGUGGAUACUGGAUGACUAGAAUGUGGUAGAGGGUAGCGGAAUUCCUGGUGUAGCAGUGAAAUGCGUAGAGAUCAGGAGGAACAUCCAUGGCGAAGGCAGCUACCUGGACCAACAUUGACACUGAGGCACGAAAGCGUGGGGAGCAAACAGGAUUAGAUACCC